GGACAGCAUUCGUGAGGCAUUUUCACUAUGUCCUGGGCUGUGUUUCUCCUCACUUUCCUCACCCAGGCCACAGGUACUUGGACCCAACAUGCCCUGACUCAGCCUUCCUCCAUGUCUGAGUCUCUGGGACAGACGGUCACCAUCUCCUGUGUUGGAAGCAGCAAUGACAUUGGCUAUUCCAAAUUUGUUGUCUCCUGGUACCAACAACGCCCAGGAAUAGCUCCUAAACUUUUGAUUUAUCGUACAACUUCUCGGCCCUCAGACAUCCCUGAUCGCUUCUCUGCCUCUAAGUCUGGCAACACAGCGACCCUGACCAUCUCUGGGCUCAAGGCUGAGGACGAAUCUGAUUAUUACUGUUGCUCAUAUACAAAAAGUGGCACUUUCCACUGCAGCCGCUGUACACAGGGAAGUGAGACAAAAACCUGUUCUCAACCUCCUCAGAUUGCUAAACUUAUGAAUCCAAGUUUUGCUGUUUUUACCUUACUUAAAAAAUUUUAG